rnacentral:tRNA from 1 species
GGCCUCGUGCUGUGCUGGUUCGGCACCCUGACUCUCACUCAGGGCGACGUGGGUUCGAUUCCCGUCGAGGUCACGA